rnacentral:rRNA from 1 species
CCUUUGACGUUAGCGGCGGACGGGUGAGUAACACGUGGGUAACCUACCUAUAAGACUGGGAUAACUUCGGGAAACCGGAGCUAAUACUGGAUAAUAUUUCGAACCGCAUGGUUCGAUAGUGAAAGGUGGUUUUGCUAUCACUUAUAGAUGGACCCGCGCCGUAUUAGCUAGUUGGUAAGGUAACGGCUUACCAAGGCGACGAUACGUAGCCGACCUGAGAGGGUGAUCGGCCACACUGGAACUGAGACACGGUCCAGACUCCUACGGGAGGCAGCAGC